UAGUGGCGCACGGGUGCGUAACGCGUGGGAAUCUGCCCUUUGGUUCGGAAUAACAGCUGGAAACGGCUGCUAAUACCGGAUGAUGACGAAAGUCCAAAGAUUUAUCGCCAGAGGAUGAGCCCGCGUUGGAUUAGGUAGUUGGUGGGGUAAAGGCCUACCAAGCCGACGAUCCAUAGCUGGUCUGAGAGGAUGAUCAGCCACACUGGGACUGAGACACGGCCCAGACUCCUACGGGAGGCAGCAGUGGGGAAUAUUGGACAAUGGGCGAAAGCCUGAUCCAGCAAUGCCGCGUGAGUGAUGAAGGCCCUAGGGUUGUAAAGCUCUUUUACCCGGGAAGAUAAUGACUGUACCGGGAGAAUAAGCCCCGGCUAACUCCGUGCCAGCAGCCGCGGUAAUACGGAGGGGGCUAGCGUUGUUCGGAAUUACUGGGCGUAAAGCGCACGUAGGCGGCUUUGUAAGUCAGAGGUGAAAGCCUGGAGCUCAACUCCAGAACUGCCUUUGAGACUGCAUCGCUUGAAUCCAGGAGAGGUCAGUGGAAUUCCGAGUGUAGAGGUGAAAUUCGUAGAUAUUCGGAAGAACACCAGUGGCGAAGGCGGCUGACUGGACUGGUAUUGACGCUG
rnacentral:rRNA from 2 species